GUGACAAUCCAAGACAAAUAUAUCUUCGGUCAUCAAAUCAUCCUGACUAAAAUUGUGUAUUUCUGUCACCUGCAAUAACAAUAUCGGAAUGGCUGUAUAAGUAAGGACCUCGAUAACAUGCUAGCACAACAAGUAAGAAUAUAUGCAAGCAUCUUAAGGCAGUGGCAAUUGAAAACAAAGGAAGACAUUAGUAAAAUGAGCAGAAUACUCUGAGAUGCCUCAGUUUUAUGAUACAGCAGAAUAGAGGAAAGAGUUGGAAUGAAUGCUUAUGAUCAGCAGUAAUAUGUAAAGAGGUCAGUUAGGGAAAACUACAAAAAUAAUGGCAAAAGAUGCAACCGUUUUAAAGGUUGGAGCGAAGGGGUUGGCCCAAAAGGGAGAAAAUCUCAAGCAGAGGAGGGAUCAUGGAUUUUAUUUUGGGCUAGACAGGGUGCUACUGGCAUGCGUCGUUCUAGAGAUCAUAUUCCACUAUCAAUUGCCAGAAAUUCAUCUCAUAAUUCAGCUGAUCACUCCACUUCUUUGUUAUCUUGAGCGACAGUCUAAUAGACAACUCCAUUCUCCAGAAUAUCAAUCAUGAAAAGCUACAGAUAUAUUCAGUGUCUACAUCUUAGUAGAUUUUUAUUUAUUAUUUUUAUGAGGUAAAUGGAAAAAAGAAGAAGCAAACAACUAGGUAAAUGUCCGUGACAUGGUUACACCAGAUUUACAUAUAUUAUUCACGAUUACAGCAGUUUACGAUGCUCGGUCAGGUGAGAAGAUACCUUAUGGUGGUUAUUCGGCAGAACUGGAUCUGCUUUUCCAAGAAGCUUGUCUCCUCUCCGCCAGGAAUUGAGCCUUAUUUCCAACACCAAGCUACGGAGAACUAUGGAAGAAGCAUUGGCCUAUCCAGUAACCCCCCAGUGGGAAUGAAUUAGGCAUUACAAACAAAUACCACUUUGUCUACUGCAGUAUCAUUGGCCAAUAAACAACAAACGAAUCUUCGAUAAUGCUUUGAUUUACGAUGAUAGGGGUACUACAAGAUGUAAU
rnacentral:lncRNA from 1 species